rnacentral:rRNA from 1 species
UACAGAGGUGGCAAGCGUUGUUCGGAAUUACUGGGCGUAAAGGGCGCGUAGGCGGCCUUGUAAGUCCCGUGUGAAAUCCCUCGGCUCAACUGAGGAACUGCACGGGAAACUGCUUGGCUUGAGUUCGGGAGAGGGAAGCGGAAUUCCGGGUGUAGCGGUGAAAUGCGUAGAUAUCCGGAGGAACACCGGUGGCGAAGGCGGCUUCCUGGACCAACACUGACACUGAGGAGCGAAAGCCAGGGGAGCAAACGGG